rnacentral:tRNA from 1 species
GUUUUAAUAGUUUAAGUAAAAAUAAUGAUCUUGUAAAUCAUAGAUAGAAAAUUACCUUUAAAACU